rnacentral:snRNA from 1 species
GGAUGUGAGGGCAAUCUGGCUGCAACAUCUGUCACCCCAUUGAUUGCCAGGGUUGAUUAGGCUGAUCUGGCUGGCUAGGCAGGUGUCCCUUUCCUCCCUCAUCACUCGAUGUGCAUCCCUCCCAAAGCUGCACACUCAGUCAAAGAGGACAGCCUUCCCCCAAUAGAGAUGAGCACCCUUCAGUGGAGGGUAUACAAGUAGCUGCCCUCCUCUGCUAGAACCUCCAAACAAGCUCUCAAAUCCACACAGCACAUAGUCAAGGAUAGACCACAUGUUAGGCCACAAAGACAGUAUCAACAAAUUCAAGGGCACU